CCUACGGGAGGCAGCAGUGAGGAAUAUUGGUCAAUGGGCGAGAGCCUGAACCAGCCAAGUCGCGUGAGGGAGUACUGCCCUAUGGGUUGUAAACCUCUUUUGUCGGGGAGCAAAAGCCGGACGUGUCCGGCUGUGAGAGUACCCGAAGAAAAAGCAUCGGCUAACUCCGUGCCAGCAGCCGCGGUAAUACGGGGGAUGCGAGCGUUAUCCGGAUUUAUUGGGUUUAAGGGGUGCGCAGGCGGAUUUUUAAGUCAGCGGUAAAAUCGUGGGGCUCAACCCCAUCCAGCCGUUGAAACUGGGGAUCUAGAGUGUGCGAGAGGUAUGCGGAAUGCGUGGUGUAGCGGUGAAAUGCAUAGAUAUCACGCAGAACCCCGAUUGCGAAGGCAGCAUACCGGUGAACAACUGACGCUCAGGCACGAAAGCGUGGGUAUCGAACAGGAUUAGAUACCCGAGUAGUC
rnacentral:rRNA from 1 species